GCUGCCUCCACAAAAUGAAUUUGCCUGGUAGAUUGUUGGUGCUGUUGUUCUGGAUUUCAGCUUCCAGAGGUGAUGUUGUUAUGACACAAACUCCAGUCUCCCUGACUGUCAGUCUUGGAGAUCAAGCCUCUAUCUCUUGCAGGUCUAGUCAGAGCCUUGUACACAAAAAUGGAAAUACCUAUUUGAAAUGGUUCAUGCAGAAGCCUGGCCAGUCUCCACAGCUCCUCAUCUAUGAGAUUUCCAACCGAUUUUCUGGGGUCCCAGACAGGUUCAGCGACAGUGGUUCAGGGACAGAUUUCACACUCAAGAUCAGCAGAGUGGAGGCUGAGCAUCUGGGUGUUUAUUACUGCUCCCAAACUACACAUUUCCCUCCCACUGUGAUGCAGACCAUAACAAAAAUCUCCUUGCUUGGGGUAUCCCAGCUGUCAAAUAAAUUACUUAUCUAUGUGAGAGGUUGUUGA